rnacentral:rRNA from 1 species
AGUGAACGCUGGCGGUAGGCCUAACACAUGCAAGUCGAACGGCAGCACAGUAAGAGCUUGCUCUUACGGGUGGCGAGUGGCGGACGGGUGAGGAAUACAUCGGAAUCUACUUUUUCGUGGGGGAUAACGGAGGAAAACUGACGCUAAUACCGCAUACGACCUACGGGUGAAAUCAGGGGAUCUUCGGACUUUUCGCGAUUGAUUGAGCCGAUGCCGGAUUAGCUAGUUGGGGGGGUAAAGGCCCACCAAGGCGACGAUCCGUAGCUGGUCUGAGAGGAUGAUCAGCCACACUGGAACUGAGACACGGUCCAGACUCCUACGGGAGGCAGCAGUGGGGAAUAUUGGACAAUGGGCGCAAGCCUGAUCCAGCCAUACCGCGUGGGUGAAGAAGGCCUUCGGGUUGUAAAGCCCUUUUGUUGGGAAAGAAAAGCAGCAGGUUAAUACCCCGCUGUUCUGACGGUACCCAAAGAAUAAGCACCGGCUAACUUCGUG